UUUCUCAGGCCCUCUAGGUGCAGAGAGAGAGAGAUAGAGGGGCUUUUUGGUUAGUGCACAAGGAAAUAGGGUUUUUGUAUGGAGCAUUAGUUGCUGAGCUGCUUCAUAUCUCCUCUGGAAAUGGGAGAAGAAAAGAAGGAAGAGGAAAAGAAAGAGGAAAAAAAAGAAGAAAAUAAGGAAGAAGAAAAGAAGGGAGUGGAGAAGAAGGAAGAAGAGGGAAACCCAAAUGAGGUCAUCCUCAAAGUAGACAUGCAUUGUGAAGGUUGUGCUAGAAAGGUUCAACGCUCCCUCAAAGGAUUUGAAGGUGUAGAAGAAGUGCUAACGGAUAGCAAGUCUCGCAAGGUAGUGUAAAAGGGAACAAACCCGAUCCAGUGAAGGUUUGUGAGAGAAUUCAAAAGAAAAGCAAGAGAAAAGCAGAGAUUAUAUCUCCAAUUCCAAAGCCUGCCUCUCAAGAAGUGAAGAAAGAUGACAAAGAAAAUGCGAAGCCCGAAGAGAAGAAGGAAGAGCCUACUAUGAUAACUGUGGUGUUAAAGGUGGGGAUGCAUUGUGAUGCAUGUGCUCAAGUAUUAAAAAAGAAGAUUCAAAAGAUGAAAGGUGUGGAGUCGGCUGAAACCAAUCUAACAAGCGAACAAGUGACUGUGAAAGGAGUGAUCGAUCCAGCGAAAGUGGUCGCGCACGUGUACAAGACUACAGGCAAGCACGCAGUGAUCCUGCCCCAAGAAGAGAAGAAAGAAGAGAAGGAAGAGGGGGGAGAGAAGAAGGAAGACGAAAAAGCAGAGGAGAAGAAGGAAGGAGAAGGGGACGAUGAAAAGAAAGAUGACCCAAAAAAGAAUGAAUUUUGGCCUUCGAAAUAUUAUUAUUACACAGAGUAUGCCCAGCCUCCACCCCAGUUGUUUAGUGAUGAGAACCCCAAUGCUUGCACUGUCAUGUGAAUGGAAGUGAGAUCUCCUCGUCUCAGUUUGCUUUCAAUUAAUUGCUGAAAUUAGGGUUAAAAUCCCCAUUAUUACACAUUAUUGUUAAUAUUUUUUUUUAUUUUUUUUUUGGAGUUUUUAUGCAAAGUUUAAUUCUUGUAUUCUUACUUAUUCUAGUAAUAUAAUGGGGUUUUGAUUUUCUGA